rnacentral:rRNA from 1 species
GGUUGAUCCUGCCAGUAGUCAUACGCUUGUCUCAAAGAUUAAGCCAUGCAUGUCUAAGUGUAAGUAAUUUUACAACGAAACUGCGAAUGGCUCAUUAAAACAGUUAUAGUUUAUUUGAUCAUCAUCUUUACAUGGAUAACCGUGGGAAUUCUAGGGCUAAUACAUGCGCAAACCCGCAAGGGAUGUGUUUAUUAGAUCAAAACCAACAGAGUGCUUGCACUUCUUCAUUGGAAUGAUAAUAACCGAUCGAAUCGCAUGCGUAAGC